rnacentral:lncRNA from 1 species
CCCUCUUCAUUCCAUUCCACCAAAACCGUACCUUUAAAUCCUUAUACAUCUUGGUUCCACCUGGAUGAACCGUAUAAGGAGAACAAUGAGCCUCUCUCAGAAUGUCAACUCGGAUCUCAGCAUCCAUAGGCACACACAGUCGGUCCCUGUACCGUAGUACUCCCGAACUGUCCAAAGCAAAACCCUCAGCCUGCCCCCUGUCUAGCUGCUCUCUAAUCCUCAACAAAUACGGAUCUCCACUCUGUUUCUCUCGGAUCCUAUCCAACAGAGUGGGCUAUAAAAC